GCGUGUUGGCGCUGAAUCAACCUCAUUGAUUAUGGAUUGAUUUUCUUCUGGAAGUAGAUCUAGUAGGUCUAGAUAAAUGUUCCUCAUAGGAAUAUGACUCCUAAGUAUGGCAAGCUCCAGGUGGCUUCAAUGCUGCCUUUGAAUCUCCGGAGACCCGGCGGGGACGACUCUUAACUGAAGAGAAGAGACUACUGCUGACUCCCUCCCAGAGCUUCAGCUUCGAGAGAAGAAAAAUCCCAAAGACAUUCUCCUCAGGCUGCCUCUCUUGGUCGCAGUUGCCCCUGAAGCCAGAGAGCACACAGCUUGGACACCGCUGACCGCAGAGGGAAGGAAGCUUGAGUCCUUAGACCUUUUUGGAUGUCAAGUGGAGAGGUGAUUUAUAGGAGCAGCAGUGAAACUGCCGGGAGGCUGUGGCACAUGCAGCUCUCCAGCUCUUCUUUGAGACUCUCAAAUAGAGAAGAAAGCAACUGACAUGUUCAUUCACAUGAUUUUCCCAUGGAACCCAAGAAGGAGACAAAGGACAAAGCCAACUGGUGACAAGGCUGUUCAGGGCCUGCUGCAACCUUCAAGGGUAAUGCCUGGAGUCGAGGGGUCCCAGACUUGAGGGACGUCAGCAGUGGGCCAUGGCCAUGCUGCCCAACUGCAGACUUGAGCCUCCUGGAUGCACUUGGGCUCCCCGGCACAUGUGUCAGGGAGGAAGAGCUUGUCUAUAUCCAGGGCACACACAAACACAUUGGUUUAUCUACAGAACUAAUGAAUUCUGCCAAUGUGAUCAUCAGGAGGAAUGGAGGAGUCAACCAGAGCUGAUUCUUUCAAGAGUGCAAGUGGCCUGUGGCUUUCUGGGAGGCACCCGACAUUCACCUCAGAAUUAUCUGUGGCAAGGCGGUUUCUGAUUUCCGCGCUUGAUAUGAUCUCUAGAGAAGCCUUUCCUUUUUCUCUGGUUUCCUGGAAGAAGCUGAGCGUACAGACAGAAUGCUGGCAAGAAGGCACGGGGCCGCUGAGAUCAGUGAGUUUUUGUCACAAGUGCAAGUUGAAGAGGCUGUGACAUUUUAGUGAGUCCCCAGCCACAUCUUGAGGAAAAAGGGAGUGUCCCAGCCCACAGGUCCCUGCUGGGGAUGGGGCUCCAAACGUCUGACAAAGUUUGCCUCUGAACUACUGUUCCCUCCUUUUGAAAGCCAUUUGUUUUCAGCUCCUCUAAGAGGCCCUGUGUGAAGCAUCUGUUUUAACUCAAGAGUGUUCUCCUCAAUUUCCUGGGGAACAUGAAUAAGACACUUCUAUUUCUAGAUCCGAGGUCAAGAGUAGCAAAGGCUCUCAUCUCUGUGGGGAGAGCUUUGCUCCUGGCAGUGGCUCCUCUCCUGCGGGGGUCUUCAGGCUUCUACUGCCAGGAAAGUCAGUCUCUUGUGUGACUUGCGAACAAGGUAACAACAAAACCUGGAAGAGGCUCCCUUACUUGUGGUGUGGGUCGGCCUUACCCACCACCUCCUGGACAAGAAAUCGGUGGGCAAAGGGGGACUGCUUCUCGGUGCCUGUGUAGGAGGCUUCUAUGCCAAAGUUGGAAAGACCCUUUAGAAAACCGAGAUGGAUUGAGGGAGCGCUGGUUUUCACUGGCUCUCGGAUUUCCUCCCCUGUGUUUGCUGAUCUCUGCUAGGAGGGAGCAGGGUCGGGGUGUUGUGGCAGAUGCCCUUUGUUGCUGAACCAAGUGUUUCCCAGCCUCCUUCCUCCUUCUUUCCGGCUGAGAACGUCACACUCAAGACAGAGGCAGCUGCAAAUGCCACCUCACUUUCCGGGCCUCCUCAAAGUGGCGAAGUGCACUUUGAACCCAAUGUUGACUAAGGAACCAGCAAGGGAAGCCUUCUAGAGAACUACUGGGGAGGAUUUUCUCUCUGACAACAAGAGAAACAUGAAGAGAGGCUGUCCUCCCUUCCUUCUGGUGGGCUGGUGUGAGGCCCAGUGGUCCCAGCCAUCCGGCCACCUUGAGGGGACCAGAUGACUCUGAGGAUGGCAGGUGCCUGACAACUUCAUCAUGCAGAACUGACCAAGCCUCGAACUUCCUGCUUCUGGACAGAUUGACCUGUGAGGUAAUAAAUGUCCUUAUUGUUUAAGCUGUUUCAGUUGAAAUAUUCCGUGCUCGUAGCCAAAAGCAACCUACGUGAUAAAUGCAGGAAACAGGCUUCCCACAUAGGAGAUUAACACCCAGGGGAGAUAGGAAAUGCACCCAUCAGGCAUCUGAGGAGCAUUUACCAACCCAUGCUGUCCCCAUAAUUUACAGCUGGACCUUAUUUUAGAAAAGAGAUGCAUUUAUAGAAACAGUGUAUGAUACAAAUUAUAAUUCUCCAUUAAUUUCAUAAAUGUUUCUGAGAAGGGAUUUCUACAUUCUUAAUUGGUCUUCAAAUAACACUAGCUCCUAACACUUUGGAGUUUCUUUCUUACGGUUUGACAAGUGGUAAAUAUCUGGAAAUCCCUACCAUUGAAGUAAAAUUAUUUUGUAAACGAGGUAUCCUUUUUAUCAAAUUAGUAUUCACACUUUAAUUUUUCCUUCUGGUAAUUUCAGAUUUUGGAAAUAGGGGUCCCCAGGAGAGCCUCACCUGAUUCUAUGCUCUGUGAGCAUGUCUAUUAUUCUCAAAGAUCAGACAAGGGCAAAGCACGGACUUGUGGCCACACCUUAUUCCAAGUGUUUGUUGUAGCCUUAGCUGUGACUGGUGUAAUGGGAUGAUAACAUGGUGCUUGUGGCUGAAACUCCUGGAUAAUACAUCAUUCAAAGGAAGUGGGAGAUUAUUGGCAGAAUUUACCAUGGAGCUGUCCACAUCCCAUCACAUGCAUCUCAAACCCCUCAUCCUUAGUGUGGAUCUCAAAGGCCUUAAAAUUGAAAAUCAGGAAGUGGAUUUUCAGAGAGAGUCCUGGUGAGUCCCAUAGAGGACUGGUUCACCUCUUCCACCUCUCUCCUGUUCAGAAGCCUGUUCCCAGAUUCUCUUGUUUGCAGAGUGCUGAGUAUGGUUUAAUUCUGCCAACAAGUGCCUUGAAGCUAGAUUUGGAAGCCGGAGUGGAGGCUGAGCCAUUCUUCCUCUUCCAGGAUGGUGGCAGGCUGUACAGGAAGCAUGGUGCCAGUAUCUGCUCAGCUUCUGGUGAGGCCUCAAGGAGCAUAUACUCAUGGCAGAAGAAGAAGCGGGAGAAGGCACAUCAUAUGAGCUUGGAAGGGACCUUUAGAAACCAUUUUCGGCACCACAGGCCUCUCCAGCAGGAACUGACUCCAGAUGGGCCAAUCAGCCUCGGAAAGAGAACAAGUGUGCUGCGGAAUAGAUGCCACAUCCAGAAAAGCGGGAGAGAAGGAUGUCGUGCCUGGUGACAUUUGCUCUCCAGGAAGGUUUGAUGAACUUUCGCUGGGCAUAGACUGAAUUAGCUAAAGGGUUGGAAAUUUGGGGGCUUUUGGUUCUUGUUGAGUUCCCUGGGGAGUUGAGCUUGGGAAAGUUGGACAUGGAGGUGGAGGUUUCAUGAUGGAACUGUUUAGGAAACUUUUUAAAAACUCACAUCCUCCCCAUCCCCCAUCAGUGUAUCUCAGAACCUUCACUGUGGGGAGCGUGUGCUGUGCAAAACCUUCCAGGUGAUUCUAUACACUUCCUUGCCUCUGGCCAAGAAGCACAGGCCUAGGCCAAGGACAGAGAGUAGGCAGCCUGCACUAAUGACAUCACAGCACAGCCCUGCCUGAUAAACCAGAACAUGGGAAAAGGAGACCCCAUAUUUGUGUCCUUUACAGUUGACCCAUUCUUUUCACAGAUGUCCCUUCAUUUGCUGUCCAAGUUUACACUCAGGUAGUCAGGGCUGGCCUAUCUCCAUUUUGCAAAUGGGAAAGUUGAGGCCCCGCUAGGACGAGUGCAUGCUGUGAAAAGGAAGAACCAAAGGAGGAAUCCAGCUCUUCUGAGCCAAAUGGCGGUGGUCUCAGUCCUGGGUAUACUGAGGGUGUGACCAGUGGCACUGUGGCCAUUGUCCAAGUGGAGGUGGGGAGACUUUAACAUGUGCUUAAAAAAGCAUUUCUUCAGCUCCUUUGUCAAACUCCCAUGAAAAGCCCCUCGUUUCUUUGAUGUCAUUGGAGCUGAGCUGUCAUAGUUCUCUUACAAUCGUUUCUGAGCAGGUAGCCUCCAACCGUCGUGGAGCGAGCGGAGCUUCUCAACUUUCCUGGCAAGGGCUGAGUGGUGAGAUGGAUGUUCACACACAUUGUUCUUUGGUUUGAUUGUAGCCCAGAAGUCUAGUAGGAAUAAUUAAAGCUAGCUCCCAACUGGGGAUCAGGCACAGAUGAUGGACUGGGUUCCCCAAGCUGGAUGACUUGGAAGAGGAGGUGGCAGUGAGUGGGGCAAAGAUCUGGUGAGUGGAGCAGUCUAGGCACCAAGGUCUGGUGCUCAAGGGAACCACAUUCCAGGUAUGGUGGGAGGCUGGCCCGACCAUCCUUACUCUGCCCUCUCAUGGUGCCUGGAGCCAGGAAGGUGAGAGCUGUCCCUCAUUACCCAAUAUUCCUUCUGAAGGAGGUGGUCAUGAGAAGGGGACAGAACUUUUCUGCAGGCCAGAGGUCGGGCAGGAAGUGGUGAGGUUGGCAGACUGGAGGCAGUCUGAAAUCGCCUGGUCACUGGGCACACAUGGGCCUGGUUAGACUCCCAUGGGCAUCUGAGUAUGGGAGUUUUGGACAGGAGAUAAAGGCAGCAGCUUUCUUAUCUGUGAGCCCUCUCUACUCUCCUGCCCACCUUGCCUGGGGCUUCUAGAUGCAGUGACUCGAUUGUACACCACCUGAGAAAACACUGGAAUCUCUGCUAAUCAAACAGCGAUGUUGGUCAGUGCUAUAGAUAUGACUUUGAUAGACACCAGUGUGAAGCCUGCAUGCAUCUGCAUUACAUUCCUUUGGGAAGGAUUUGUUGCAGGUUUUCAGGCCAUUUCUGUUGGUGGGACCUUAUUUGUCUCCAUAGGCUGAUGAAGCCUGGGGAGAAUGGGGGCUGCAGACAAGGAAGCUGGUGCCCUGCUUGGGAGGUGAUUUGCUGAAGCCCACGGUAGUGAACGUUAGGGUGCACCCUUCAGAUGCUCCACCCAGGACUGAGGCUCUCAUCUCCCAGUCACUGGGAAUGUUGCCUCCUGGCUGGCUCGCAUCUGAGUCCUUUCUGGGAAUUGCCCUCAGUCAAAGAGAGCCCAGCCAAGAGCAUGUUCCCUUCCUGGAAUAGCCAGACUCAUUCACCCAACAAAGAUGUUGGGCCAAGAACACUGCCCAAUAACCUGCUAAGCUCUAUCUAAGAGCCUAUUUCCCAGGAGCCUGAGCUAUGCAGCUCCCAGCCUGUGGGCUUUGCCUCACUGCAUGCUUCCUGCAUAGGAGGAGAGACAGUGAACAGAGCCGAGCCCUACUGCCAACCUCCGGACCCUUAGAUUUGAGCUGUGCCCUGAGCACUCCUUCAGAGCCUUGGCGAUAUGUGUAAAAAAUGGAAGAAGUCCCUGGAGAGAGUGUGCUGCAGUUACCAGGAGCCUGUUUGCUGUGUAUCCUCAGCCCCCUGCGGUGCUUGUGAAAAAAUGGAGACAGCAGAGUCUAGUCUAACCUGCAGACACUUUGGCUCUUUAUUUACCCAGAUGUCCAGUGGUAUCACAGGAACAAGCCACAGUAGGCCUCACUUCUAGCCAGAGAGCAGGUUUUGCAAAGAUUUGUAUACUGUUCGGCCCUUUGUAGGAGUCAGGGAUCUCUGGAGAAGCAGAGUCAAUGGGAUGCUGAUAGGAGAGGGAGAUUUCCUUUAAGGAGUGGCUUCCGUGAUAGUAGAGGCAGCUGGCAAGUCCAGAAUUUGCAGCAUGGGCCUGCAGGCUGGAGGCCCAGGGGAGAGCCGAUGUUGCAGCCGACAAUCGGCUGGGGUUACUCCCUCUUCCCUGGGAGAGGUCAGUCUUUGUUCUCUUAAGGCCUUCAACAGAUUGGAUGAAACUCACCCAGAGGGCAAUCUGCUUUGCUCAGAGACUACUAAUUUAGAUUUUAAUCUCAUUUAAAAACACCUUCAUGGCAACAUCCAGGUGUGUUUAGCCAACUGUCUGAGUGCCGCUAACAUUAACCAUUACAUCCUCCACAAUGUAAAAUCUCCAUUCAUUUCAGUCCUGGGAGACUUCUGUUCUCAUUGCCUUAACAGACCACAUGCUCCAGAGCCGGCACCAUUCUUAACUGGGCAUGAAUGUCGGCCCUCAGGGAUUCUUCUGGGGCCUUACCUUUUCUUGUGCUCGGUGUACAUUCUUUGAUCUAUCACAUUUCUAUUUACCAGGGGCUUGAGAGUUCAUUCUGUGAAGGGCCAGUGAGUAGUGAUUUUGGGAUAUGCAGGCUACAUAUAUCUUCGUUGUAUAUUCUUCUUUGUUUUGGAACUCUUUGAAAAUAUACAAACCAUCUUAGCUUGCUGCCUAUAUUAAAACAGGCCAAGGGCUAGAUUGGCCUACAAGCUGCAAUUUGCCAGCCCUUGAUUUAAACUCUUAAUAUUCCAGGUACAUCUGGAUGCUUGAAAUUCCUGGGCCACUUCACAUCGCUAAGUGCCCUCCUCCAAACUCUUCUGAAGCCUGCUUGUUCCGUAGAAACCUAAAUAACACAGAUGCUGUGAGGACAACUGGAAGAGAAGAGCCUCUCUUUCCAAAGCUCUAAUCACCAAAGUUCCCCCAAAAGAUGUUUCAAAACUUGUUUUGAGAGAAGGAAAGCUGAAGAGCAUGGGGAAGGCAUCUCCAUCACAAAAGCUUUAUGCUGGGAGAACAAAGGGUGAAGAACGUAGACCAUCAGCCUCCUUUGCGCCAUGAUUUUCCAGCACAGUCUCUUCCAAUUCUGUUUCAUGCUUAGGGUCCCCAACAGAGAGUGCUACCCUGAGUGGCCCCCCAGGCUGGGAGAAGGGGAGCAGCCUGACUAUGGCAGCUUCCUCUGGCUGACUAAACACUGUCCUGGAGCUUGGCACCUGGAAAGGUGCCUGUUAGGUGGGCUGGAGCCACAGGCAGCCAGCAAGACCCCCUCAGCCCCACAGAGAGCCUUCCAGGACUGGAGACAUGGAUUAUGAAAGCUAGCUUUUUGGUGUGUAUGUGGAGGGUGAGGGGUGGCAAGGAUGAGGGUUUCUACAAACCGCCAGUGAAUCAACUUAACUGCAUGAUCCUUUAUGAAAACGUGAACUCUUACCCUGGCAGAUGAUAUUUUAGUGUGUGUGGGCUCCUCCCUGAAUGAGAGUUCAAUGAGAAUGGAAAUAGCUCCAUUCGUUGUUCCUCUAGUUUUAUUUGAUCUCUGGUUUUAAAGAACCCCCUUGUCAUCACUUGAACUUUCAUUCUUGGGAUUCCUUUCCUCCCCCUCUGUCCCUCCCUCCCUCUCUCCUUUCUUCCCUCUUUCCUUUCCUUCCUUUCUCCAACAAUGAUAUGGUGAGGCUUUGUGUCCCCACCCAAAUCUCCUCUUGAAUUGUAAUCCCUAUAAUCCCCACAUGCCAAGGGAGAGACCAGGUGGUGGUAACUGAAUCAUGGGGCAGUUGUUUCCCCCAUGCUGUUCUCAUGAUAGUGAGUGAGUUCUCAUGAGAUCUGAUGGUUUUAUAAGGGGCUCUUUUCCCUCUGCUCAGCACUUUUCCUGCUGCCUUGUGAAGAAGGUGCCUUGCUUCCCCUUUGCCUUCUGCCAUGAUUAUAAGUUUCCUGAGGGCUCCCCAGCCAUGCGACACUGAGUCAAUUAAACCUCUUUCCUUUAUAAAUUACCCAGUCUUCAGCAGUUCUUUAUAGCAGUGUGUGAAAAUGGACUAAUACAACCCCUUUCAUUGUCUGUCAUGUACCUGUGAUUGCAGGUAUUGUGAGAUGUAAGGUAUUACACCUAUCCUCAGGUAGCUCAGGGGAGAGCUUCGGUAAAGCAAAUAUGGAAGAAUCUCUGUUCAUUGUGGUCUUCUCUUUCUCACCCAAAGUAUUGUGCCUGUGAUAUUAGUGGGAGAAUGCAAAUGUACCAAGCACUGGAUUAGCUUGGGGACCCCUUCCAGAUGGCAGCUGUUGCUACAGGUGGUGUCUGUCCCCACACCUGCUCCCCUUUGUCCUGAGAGGAUCCACCUUAGGAGCACCAGGCUGUGCAGGCUAAUUGCCCUUCUCCUCACAGGGCCUGGCAGAGCUCGGCAGACAAAGGCUCACCUGCCAAAGAGUCCCCACCCCCUGGCUGAACAUAUGACCAUGUGGCAAAGUCCAACCCUAAAGGGACCUGCCAGAGUGAGGUGCCCCAGAAAACAGGCACCAGGACUGCCAAAUACGAAGGGCAAUAUCUCUCAGAAGUCAGAACAAGAAUAAUUCUCCAAGACCUUUCCAGAAAGUGUAAUCAUAUAUUUCAGAAAAAUGCAUUGUGUGUUUUAUUAGAAGAACACAUAUUUUGUCCUAAGUUUACUUUUAGAUUUGAUUAAAAACAGGUUGUUACAGCUGCUGCUGUUUGAAUCAAUCAGAGGCAAGCCUGUAAACCACUUUUCCCACAGAGACUGUGCCAAGUCUGUUUAGGGUCCCAGAACUGUCCUCUGGGAAACCUGGGGAGUGUAUGAGGACUUCUUUUUUUUUUUUUUUGUAAAUGCCAGCAUUGGACUGAUCAUUCUAGACUUUGUACUUCAUUCCUAAUUAAUGUAAAAAUACGUUUUCCAGAAUCAUUCCAUUUUAUUACUUUUUCUUUUUGAAGGAGAGCAUUUAAACAGGAUUCUCUUAUGGUAAAUCAUUCAGAUCCAUCUAAAGUUCAGGAGAAUAUUAAUAGGUGCUCUGAAAAUCAUAGAGUGUGUCUUCAGAAUUUGCUGCACACAGCGCUAUUUUAAUUUCUGAGUUAAUACAGGUUCUAACUCAUGGUAACAAUGACUUUAUGAAGACAGUCUCUGGAUAACAAAGCUAUUUUCAUCUUUUACUGAAUGGUUCAGAAAUCGUACUGCUUUAAUGUGUUUUUAAUAUACUUUUUAUUUUUUUUG